rnacentral:rRNA from 1 species
AACGAACGCUGGCGGCAGGCCUAACACAUGCAAGUCGAGCGAAGCCUUCGGGCUUAGCGGCGGACGGGUGAGUAACGCGUGGGAACGUGCCCUUUGCUACGGAAUAGCCCCGGGAAACUGGGAGUAAUACCGUAUGUGCCCUUCGGGGGAAAGAUUUAUCGGCAAAGGAUCGGCCCGCGUUGGAUUAGGUAGUUGGUGGGGUAAUGGCCUACCAAGCCGACGAUCCAUAGCUGGUUUGAGAGGAUGAUCAGCCACACUGGGACUGAGACACGGCCCAGACUCCUACGGGAGGCAGCAGUGGGGAAUCUUAGACAAUGGGCGGAGGCCUGAUCUAGCCAUGCCGCGUGAUCGAUGAAGGCCUUAGGGUUGUAAAGAUCUUUCAGGUGGGAAGAUAAUGACUGUACCACCAGAAGAAGCCCCGGCUAACUCCGUGCCAGCAGCCGCCGUAAGAC